UACGUAGGGUGCAAGCGUUAAUCGGAAUUACUGGGCGUAAAGCGUGCGCAGGCGGUUUUGUAAGUUGACGUGAAAUCCCCGGGCUCAACCUGGGAAUUGCGUUGGAGACUGCAAGGCUAGAAUCUGGCAGAGGGGGGUAGAAUUCCACGUGUGAGCAGUGAAAUGCGUAGAGAUGUGGAGGAACACCGAUGGCGAAGGCAGCCCCCUGGGUCAAGAUUGACGCUCCAUGCACGAAAGCGUGGGGAGCAACAAGGAU
rnacentral:rRNA from 1 species